CCUCAGGCCUGCAUUCGAUACGGGCAAACUAGAGUUUGGUAGGGGAGACUGGAAUUCCUGGUGUAGCGGUGGAAUGCGCAGAUAUCAGGAGGAACACCAAUGGCGAAGGCAGGUCUCUGGGCCAAUACUGACACUGAGGAGCGAAAGUCUGGGGAGCAAACAGGAUUAGAUACCCUGGUAGUCCAGACCGUAAACGGUGGGCACUAGUUGUGGGAACCUUCCACGGUUUCUGCGACGCAGCUAACGCAUUAAGUGCCCCGCCUGGGGAGUACGAUCGCAAGAUUAAAACUCAAAGGAAUUGACGGGGCCCCGCACAAGCAGCGGAGCAUGCGGCUUAAUUCGACGCAACGCGAAGAACCUUACCAAGGCUUGACAUAUAGGGAAAAGUGGCAGAGAUGUCAUGUCCGCAAGGGCUCUAUACAGGUGGUGCAUGGUUGUCGUCAGCUCGUGUCGUGAGAUGUUGGGUUAAGUCCCGCAACGAGCGCAACCCUCGUUCUGUGUUGCCAGCAUUUAGUUGGGGACUCACAGGAGACUGCCGGGGUUAACUCGGAGGAAGGUGGGGAUGACGUCAAAUCAUCAUGCCCCUUAUGUCUUGGGCUGCACGCAUGCUACAAUGGCCGGUACAGAGGGCUGCAAUACCGCAAGGUGGAGCGAAUCCCAAAAAGCCGGUCUCAGUUCGGAUUGAGGUCUGCAACUCGACCUCAUGAAGUUGGAGUUGCUAGUAAUCGUAGAUCAGCAACGCUACGGUGAAUACGUUCCCGGGGCUUGUACACACCGCCCGUCACGUCACGAAAGUCGGUAACACCCAAAGUCAGUGGCCCAACCGCAAGGGGGGAGCUGCCUAAGGUGGGAUCGGUGAUUG
rnacentral:rRNA from 1 species